CCUAAAUCUACCUUGUGUUUCAGGUUUUUCUGACUGUAGCCUUCAUUGAUGAGAUCUGCCAUACCAUUCUCUCACUAGAAGGGAAAACCUAUAAUGGCAUCAGGCCAUAAACGAGACCCAGUUUG